GACGUAGGGCGCGAGCGUUGUCCGGAUUUAUUGGGCGUAAAGAGCUCGUAGGCGGCUUGUUGCGUCGGCUGUGAAAACCCAUGGCUCAACCGUGGACUUGCAGCCGAUACGGGCAGGCUAGAGUUCGGUAGGGGAGACUGGAAUUCCUGGUGUAGCGGUGAAAUGCGCAGAUAUCAGGAGGAACACCGGUGGCGAAGGCGGGUCUCUGGGCCGAUACUGACGCUGAGGAGCGAAAGCGUGGGGAGCGAACAGG
rnacentral:rRNA from 1 species